AUAGUGUGAACGCAUAGUGUGAAC
rnacentral:siRNA from 1 species